rnacentral:lncRNA from 1 species
GGAAGAGAGGAUAAAGGGAGGAAUAAACUUGAUAUAAGCAUCUUUGCAUAAUUAACAACUGGGUCAAAUUUUCUUCAUUUCAUUGAGAUUCUUGAUACAAGCCUCUGCUGAUGAAUUGGAUUCCAAAAAGAUAUUGUUGUCCAGGCCACACCAUACGGGACUUACCACUCCCAGUUGCUAACAUCUGCACGUAUUUGCCUGGAGGUCUCCUCUGGUCACCAGAUCCUACUCUGCCUGGGCCACAUGACAAGGUGAUGUGCUGAGGAACAAAAGCCCCCAGGAGUAUCCCUCAAGCAGUGUUGGACUGGAGUUGAGGUACUACAUGCCAAUGCAACUGGCCCCCAAUUAAAAAUUC